UGUGAAUUAGGCUGCCUGUGUGAACGUAGCCAAUGAGACACACCUCCCAAAUUUCUUCAUUCUCUUGAAGAGUACGUUCUAACAACCUGUCUGAACAUUAUUCAAGGCACGCUACCUCAUGCCCUUAUUCAACCUGAUGACUUGAGCGAAAGGGAGACCAACAGCUACAGCUCCAAGCUCCUCAUCAACACCGUUUCCCUGUAUGGAAUGCUCUUGUCAUCACUCAGAGAGAAAUUGUACAACCAUCAUGGCUCCGGAGAUGAAUCUGGGCUGAUCUGUCAAACUGCGGUUUAGGAGACACUCACCAAUCGAACGCGGUGAGAACCUUGAUGACUCUACCUGUGGAUGAGGAUGCGGUCUACACUAUCUCUCUGUGGAGGAGAAGGGGAGGGCAGGGGCCUGAGAGCCCGGGUAGGCAGGAUGAAGAGACUGCUGUGCCUUCGACACGCCCACCGUGUGGAUGUCCUGACGGACAUGGAGCCGGGGCUCUGGCUGAGGCGCUUCCAGCUGCUGGACACAGACGUCACUGAGG
ensembl:lncRNA